rnacentral:rRNA from 1 species
GGGGAACAUUGGACAAUGGGCGAAAGCCUGAUCCAGCCAUGCCGCGUGUGUGAAGAAGGCCUUUUGGUUGUAAAGCACUUUAAGUGGGGAGGAAAAGCUUGUGGUUAAUACCCAUAAGCCCUGACGUUACCCACAGAAUAAGCACCGGCUAACUCUGUGCCAGCAGCCGCGGUAAUACAGAGGGUGCAAGCGUUAAUCGGAAUUACUGGGCGUAAAGCGCGCGUAGGUGGUUAUUUAAGUCAGAUGUGAAAGCCCCGGGCUUAACCUGGGAACUGCAUCUGAUACUGGAUAACUAGAGUAGGUGAGAGGGGAGUAGAACUCCAGGUGUAGCGGUGAAAUGCGUAGAGAUCUGGAGGAAUACCGAUGGCGAAGGCAGCUCCCUGGCAUCAUACUGACACUGAGGUGCGAAAGCGUGGGUAGCAAACAGGAUUAGAUACCCUGGUAGUCCACGCCGUAAACGAUGUCUACCAGUCGUUGGGUCUUUUAAAGACUUAGUGACGCAGUUAACGCAAUAAGUAGACCGCCUGGGGAGUACGGCCGCAAGGUUA